ensembl:lncRNA
AAAAAAGAGAAAAAGAGGAGAAAGUAUAAAAGGGGAAAAGAAGUUAUCAGAACGUCAUUUCUCUUGGACCAGAAACAGGAAAAUCACAGACUCUGCCUGAAGCACCAGACUGAGAAGUCGCUGUGGGAUCAGUAGACUCUUCUUAACACCAAGUGAACUGAUUCACAGACAUGGCUGAAUUCUUCAGGGAUUAUGCAACACCUACAAUCAACCUAACUCCAACAGAAAAGAAGAUGAGGAUAACCAUAAAAAGCAAAAAGAAGAAGACCAAGGAUGCCAGAAGAAGAGAACGCUCUGACAACCCAGAAAUACUCUUCGUCAGUAGAAGAGAGGGAAAAGAGGACAAAUUGCAGUUACACACUGAAGAACCAGAUAAAUUAAUGACAUGGAUAGAAGGUCUUAAACCAGAGAAAAGGGAAGUCACUACCACAUAUAAAACCAGCAAAGGCAUAAUUGUAUUGCACCAUAAUGGAGAAUUGGUGAUGUAUGGCGAUGAUGAUAAAAGAAAAGAGUUUGCAGAAUGGUUCAAUAACCAAAAAAUAAUACAACAGAGCAAGGUGUUCAGCCAGAAGGCUAGAAAAUGAAGGACAGGACAGGUUUCUAGCAGAGAUGAGUUUUUCUAUUAUUUUUAUAGCCUCAGAGACCAAUACAUUAAAUACUAUAAAACAUUAGAUGAAGUGAUAAAAAAUAAUCACUGUGUGUGUUAUAGGCGUAAUUCUGUACUUUUAGGAGGAAUUACAGCUCAAAUUUGUGUACAUGCUGGUAGUUAUUUGGUUUCUUCUGGUAUUCAAAGGGUUUCCAUGAUAUUUCUGUGAAUUACAUUUGUAAUUACAUAAUCAAUAGCCUGGUUGCAAUUUUUUUCAAUAUAAUAAAUAACUACUAUCACCCUG